UACGAGGGGGCGAGCGUUGUUCGGAAUUAUUGGGCGUAAAGGGUGCGUAGGCGGUUUGGUAAGUCUGAUGUGAAAUCUAUGGGCUCAACUCAUAGUCUGCAUCGGAAACUGCCGGGCUUGAGUAUGGGAGAGGUGAGUGGAACUGCGAGUGUAGAGGUGAAAUUCGUAGAUAUUCGCAAGAACACCAGUGGCGAAGGCGGACUCACUGGCCCAUAACUGACGCUGAGGCACGAAAGCGUGGGGAGCAAACAGGG
rnacentral:rRNA from 1 species